CUUUGAGUUGGGCAAAGAUACUUAAAAUCCGACAGCAGAAGCACGACCUUAGAAGAAGAGAAAUUGCUAAGCUGAGCGCCAUGAAAAUGAAGAGCAAAUGCUCGUAAAAAGCUCUCACCACGGAGGGUGAAAACAGGAGCUGAGGACUGGGAGGAAUCGCCCACUGGGGGGAAGUCACAUCUCUGAGAAGAGGCUCACGCUUCAAGCGUCUAAUAAGACAACAAACCACCAAUUAAACAAUGGGCAAAAGGCUGGAGCAGACAUGUCACCAGCAGAGAUACUUGGAUGGGAAGUAAGCAACAGAAGAAGCCCAGUGUUAUUAGCCAUUGGUGUUGCUUUUGCUCACUUGCCAAGUCACGUCUGAUGCUUUGCAACCCCACAGACUGCAGCAUGCCAAGCCUCCCUGUCCCUCACCAUCUUCCAGAGUUGGCUCAAAUUCAUGUCCAUUGAGUCGGUGAUGCCAUCCAACCAUCUCAUCCUCUGUCGGCCUCUCCUCCUUCUGCCUGCAGUCUUUCCCAGAGCAGGGUCUUUUCUAAUAAGUCGGCUCUUAGCCACUAAGGAAGCACAAACCCCAGCCCCAAGGAGGGCUGCCCCGUCCCGUCAGCAGACACAAAGGCGGCUGACCAGGACUGGCCAUCAGUAGGACAGCCAGGCAGAGCUAAAGACUGAGAACGGGGCAUUUCCUGGUAAAUACCAACACACCUGGGCCCCCAAGCAUCUCCAGAAAGCCUCAGGCAUGUGAAGAAAGGGACCUCUUGUCUCUGUGCCCCUGCUCUCCAGGGAAAGACUUCUUUUUAAGGAAAAAAACAUCCAUUCUUCAUUUUCAAAAUAGCUUCUCGGCUACAUGCCCCAAAGCAUCACAUAGAAACAACUGCGAGAGAGGAAGCUGCCUACACUGAGGGAAUUAAAAGCUUUCAAACAGUUGGCAUCUGGGAGCUCCUGAGACAACGGCGGGCACUCCAGUGACGGUCACAGGGACACUGUGGUCUUUGCAUCAGCAGCUCGUGCUGCGGAGGACAGUGACCACGGCCACAGCUCAGCUGAGAGACAGAGACCUCACGUGCUCACCGCUUCUCCCAGGGGUUGCGGGUAGAACUCUCGGGUUUAGUCAUCACACGCUUAGCAGCACCGGUCUCGUCCUUCAGUCCAGCCUGACCCAGCGUGUUCUGUUCUCCGAGCAGGACCUGGAGAUGGGAGCCGUCAGACUGCAGGCUGCCGGCCGAGGUGGGGGCGGACGGGGAGGAGGGGGGCAGGGCCUUCUCACCCCCAGCAAGGACCGCCCGGGUCCCAGGGGGCAUCCACCUCGAUUUGGUGCCACGGUGGGUCCUCACUUCCUCCAGACGAAGCCUCCCAGGGCAGCGGGCCAGGCUACAAUAGCAAUAAAUAACCGAGCUCCAGCCCUGUUGUGAAACGCAAAUCCUAGAUUUUAAAGUGUUUUUCAACAUAAAGUCACGGGAGUGGAAGUUCCAGCACCAAAACAAAGUUAUAUAAGAGGAAUAAUAAAUUAAAGAUGUCGAGAGGCA
rnacentral:lncRNA from 1 species